UACGGGGGGGGGCAAGCGUUGUUCGGAAUUACUGGGCGUAAAGCGCGCGUAGGCGGCCACUUAAGUCGGAUGUGGAAGCCCCUGGCUCAACUGGGGAAGUGCACCCGAAACUGAAUGGCUUGAAUGCAAAAGAGGGUCGCGGAAUUCCCGGUGUAGAGGUGAAAUUCGUAGAUAUCGGGAGGAACACCGGUGGCGAAGGCGGCGACCUGGGUUGACAUUGACGCUGAGGCGCGAAAGCGUGGGGAGCAAACAGG
rnacentral:rRNA from 1 species